rnacentral:rRNA from 1 species
UACGUAGGGGGCAAGCGUUGUCCGGAAUUAUUGGGCGUAAAGAGCUCGUAGGUGGUUUGUCGCGUUGUUCGUGAAAACUCACAACUCAAUUGUGGGCGUGCGGGCGAUACGGGCAGACUGGAGUACUGCAGGGGAGACUGGAAUUCCUGGUGUAGCGGUGGAAUGCGCAGAUAUCAGGAGGAACACCGGUGGCGAAGGCGGGUCUCUGGGCAGUAACUGACGCUGAGGAGCGAAAGCGUGGGGAGCAAACAGG